rnacentral:rRNA from 1 species
UACGGAGGGUGCAAGCGUUAUCCGGAUUCACUGGGUUUAAAGGGUGCGUAGGUGGACAGGUAAGCCAGUGGUGAAAUCCCCGAGCUUAACUCGGGAACUGCCGUUGAUACUAUCUGUCUUGAAUAUCGCGGAGGUAAGCGGAAUAUGUCAUGUAGCGGUGAAAUGCUUAGAUAUGACAUAGAACACCGAUUGCAAAGGCAGCUUACUACACGAUCAUUGACACUGAGGCACGAAAGCGUGGGGAGCAAACAGG